AGAACGAACGCUGGCGGCGUGGAUAAGACAUGCAAGUCGAACGCGAUUUAUCGAGUUAGCAAUAACUUGGUAAAUUGAGUGGCGAAAGGGUGCGUAACACGUGGGAAUUUACCGAGAAGUGGGGAAUAGCUUGACGAAAGUCAAAUUAAUACCGCAUGUGAUCGAAAGAUCAAAGCCGGGGACCGCAAGGCCUGGCGCUUCUUGAGAAGCCCGCGGCCCAUCAGCUAGUUGGCGGGGUAAAAGCCCACCAAGGCUAUGACGGGUAGCUGGUCUGAGAGGACGACCAGCCACACUGGAACUGAGACACGGUCCAGACACCUACGGGUGGCAGCAGUCGAGAAUUUUUCACAAUGGAC
rnacentral:rRNA from 1 species